GACGAACCGUGCGAACGUUAUUCGGAAUCAUUGGGCUUAAAGCGCGUGUAGGCGGACGGGAACGUCGGUGUUGAAAGCCCCCGGCUCAACCGGGGAAUAGGCGCCGAAACGGCCCGUCUGGAGGGGCAUAGGGGGAGCUGGAACUUCCGGUGGAGCGGUGAAAUGCGUUGAGAUCGGAAGGAACGCCCGCGGCGAAAGCGAGCUCCUGGAUGUCUUCUGACGCUGAGACGCGAAAGCUAGGGUAGCGAACGGG
rnacentral:rRNA from 1 species